rnacentral:rRNA from 1 species
CGCUGGCGGCACGCCUAACACAUGCAAGUCGAACGAAGUAGCAAUACUUAGUGGCAGACGGGUGAGUAACAUGUAGGUAUCUGCCCUUUGGCCUGGAAUAACACGAGGAAACUUGUGCUAAUACCGGAUAAGUCUUUACGGAGAAAGCUUUAUGCACCAUUGGAUGAGCCUGCACUUGAUUAGUUUGUUGGUAGGGUAAUGGCCUACCAAGACUGUGAUCAAUAGCUGAUUUGAGAGGAUGAUCAGCCACAUUGGGACUGAGACACGGCCCAAACUCCUACGGGAGGCAGCAGUGGGGAAUCUUGCACAAUGGAGGAAACUCUGAUGCAGCGAUGCCGCGUGAGUGAAGAAGGCCUUUGGGUUGUAAAGCUCUUUCGUCGGGGAAGAAAAUGACUGUACCCGAAUAAGAAGGUCCGGCUAACUUCGUGCCAGCAGCCGCGGUAAUACGAAGGGACCUAGCGUAGUUCGGAAUUACUGGGCUUAAAGAGUUCGUAGGUGGUUGAAAAAGUUGGUGGUGAAAUCCCAGAGCUUAACUCUGGAACUGCCAUCAAAACUUUUCAGCUAGAGUAUGAUAGAGGAAAGCAGAAUUUCUAGUGUAGAGGUGAAAUUCGUAGAUAUUAGAAAGAAUACCAAUUGCGAAGGCAGCUUUCUGGAUCAUUACUGACACUGAGGAACGAAAGCAUGGGUAGCGAAGAGGAUUAGAUACCCUCGUAGUCCAUGCCGUAAACGAUGUGUGUUAGACGUUGGAAAUUUAUUUUCAGUGUCGCAGCGAAAGCGAUAAACACACCGCCUGGGGAGUACGACCGC